GCUCCAGUGCAGUGGUUAGUACGCGCCCAGGAAAGCGUGAGACGCGGGUUCAACUCCCGCUUGAUGCU